rnacentral:rRNA from 1 species
UACGUAGGGGGCUAGCGUUGUCCGGAAUCAUUGGGCGUAAAGCGCGUGUAGGCGGCAAGGCAAGUCGGAUGUGAAAGCCCGCGGCUCAACCGUGGAAGUGCACUCGAAACUGCCUAGCUAGAGUCUCGGAGAGGAAGGUGGAAUGCUUGGUGUAGAGGUGAAAUUCGUAGAUAUCAAGCAGAACACCUGUGGCGAAGGCGGCCUUCUGGACGAUGACUGACGCUGAGACGCGAAAGCGUGGGGAGCAAACAGG